rnacentral:rRNA from 1 species
GACGAACGCUGGCGGCGUGCUUAACACAUGCAAGUCGAACGGAAAGGCCCUGCUUUUGUGGGGUGCUCGAGUGGCGAACGGGUGAGUAACACGUGAGUAACCUGCCCUUGACUUUGGGAUAACUUCAGGAAACUGGGGCUAAUACCGGAUAGGAGCUCCUGCUGCAUGGUGGGGGUUGGAAAGUUUCGGCGGUUGGGGAUGGACUCGCGGCUUAUCAGCUUGUUGGUGGGGUAGUGGCUUACCAAGGCUUUGACGGGUAGCCGGCCUGAGAGGGUGACCGGCGACAGUGGGACUGAGAGACGGCCGAGAGGCCUACGGGAGGCAGAAGGGGGGAAGAUGGCACAAUGGGCGGAAGCCGGAUGCAGCAACGCCGCGUGCGGGAUGACGGCCGUCGGGGUGUAAACCGAUUUCGCCUGUGACGAAGCGUGAGGGAAGGGAAGGGGUAAAGAAGAACCGGAGAAAUACGGG